UUGAACGCUGGCGGCAUGCCUUACACAUGCAAGUCGAACGGCAGCACGGGAGCAAUCCUGGUGGCGAGUGGCGAACGGGUGAGUAAUAUAUCGGAACGUGCCCAGUCGUGGGGGAUAACGUAGCGAAAGCUACGCUAAUACCGCAUACGAUCUAUGGAUGAAAGCGGGGGAUCGCAAGACCUCGCGCGAUUGGAGCGGCCGAUAUCAGAUUAGGUAGUUGGUGAGGUAAAGGCUCACCAAGCCGACGAUCUGUAGCUGGUCUGAGAGGACGACCAGCCACACUGGGACUGAGACACGGCCCAGACUCCUACGGGAGGCAGCAGUGGGGAAUUUUGGACAAUGGGCGCAAGCCUGAUCCAGCAAUGCCGCGUGCAGGAUGAAGGCCUUCGGGUUGUAAACUGCUUUUGUACGGAACGAAACGGUGAGCUCUAAUACAGUUUGCUAAUGACGGUACCGUAAGAAUAAGCACCGGCUAACUACGUG
rnacentral:rRNA from 1 species